rnacentral:rRNA from 1 species
GAUGAACGCUGGCGGCGUGCCUAAUACAUGCAAGUCGAACGCAUUGUGGUUGAAAUGAUAUGAAGAACUUGUUCAGAUUUGAUUUUCAACAUUGCAAUGAGUGGCGAACGGGUGAGUAACACGUGGGAAACCUACCUCUUAGCAGGGGAUAACAUUUGGAAACAAAUGCUAAUACCGUAUAAUAAUUAAAACCGCAUGGUUUUAGUUUGAAAGAUGGUCUUGCUAUCACUAAGAGAUGGUCCCGCGGUGCAUUAGUUAGUUGGUGAGGUAAUGGCUCACCAAGACAAUGAUACAUAGCCGAGUUGAGAGACUGACCGGCCACAAUGGGACUGAGACACGGCCCAUACUCCUACGGGAGGCAGCAGUAGGGAAUCUUCCACAAUGGACGAAAGUACUGAUGGAGCAACGCCGCGUGUGUGAUGAAGGGUUUCGGCGUCGUAAAACAACUGUUGUAAGAGAAGAAUGACAUUGAGAGUAACUGUUCAAUGUGUG